rnacentral:rRNA from 1 species
UUCUCUGAUGUUAGCGGCGGACGGGUGAGUAACACGUGGGUAACCUACCUAUAAGACUGGGAUAACUCCGGGAAACCGGGGCUAAUACCGGAUAAUAUUUUGAACCGCAUGGUUCAAUAGUGAAAGACGGUUUCGGCUGUCACUUAUAGAUGGACCCGCGCCGUAUUAGCUAGUUGGUAA